AGUCAGAGGCAGAGGGACAGUCACCGCAGCGUUAGCUAACGUUAGCUUCUUGUUUCAUCUGGGGUCUAAUAAACAGUCUAGUUUGUAGCAAUGAAACAGACAACACCACUAUUCAACAAUGUUUUUAUUUAAAUACAACAUUAGAAAUGAUUUUUACACACCUGAUAAACGUCUCUGAAAUGUCUCUUUUUUAGAACAAAAAUGAAUAGAAAGACUGUGCCUGUCUCCUUAUCAACCUUAAGACGAAGGACACGUGUAGAUGUUCAAAAAAGGCAUCAUCAAAUUAGGACAGACAACUGACAUGGACAGGAAUAGGGGCAGAUGACUGAGUUCUUUGAGGACACUGCCCCACCCUCUUUAGCUGCACAUGCAAUGCCAGAGGUGCAAGUUGUUACUGAAGAUGACAUGGAAUUGGAGGCAGAUUUUGAUGAUGUGUACAUUACUCUGGAUGAAAAUUUGCUCACCUGACCAUGGGGUCGGACUGCAACACCCUUCACCACCUCAACUCCCUGCACCUGCAUUUAACAUGAGGAGGGUUACUCAAGGAACGGCAGUCCCUCCUCAACUCCCUCCACCCCCCGCACCGGCCCUCAACAUGAGGCGAACAGAGGCGCCCUCUUCAAGCCUGGCCUACAGACCAACAUGGCGAGGGGGAGGAAUGACCGAUACCAUUCCCUGCUCUGCGGCUGAGGUCCACAUCCUUAGCCUGCUGGAGACCAUUAAACAACGACAAGACCAGCUUGUGGCAAAGGUGAACUACCUCAGCAGCAGGCUGAACAGCACCCCUGGGGCCAGAUGUUGAGAUGCCGGACAAUAUCCAGUUUCCCCUGGAACAAUUGGAGGCAGUGGAGGCAUUUGAAAUGUUUUUAAAGGAACCGUCAAAUGGCCCAGCUCGACAGAGCGUGGUUUCUUCUUAGGCCACCAUUGGAGGUCAGGAUGUGAAGAGAGUGACCUGGAACAUCCUGGCCAGGCUCUUCACAGAUGAGGUAUCUCAUCAGAUAAACUGGAAGGGUGUUAAUAACAAAAAGUCCUUCAGUAGGAUGGCAACGAAGAUCUUGCUUUUCAGUGCUGUGAGGAAAAACACAAUGACACGGUCAGCCACGGACGCAGAGGUCACCAAGCAUGCAAUCUGGUGGUUCAACCUGGCAG